rnacentral:pre_miRNA from 1 species
UCACCUCUGCAGGCUGGCCAGCCCCCAGGCUGGGCUGGGCAAGUCUCUCUUUGAACGGCUCACCCACAAGCACCACUAGAAGC